GAUGAAGAACGUAGCGAAAUGCGAUAAGUAGUGUGAAUUGCAGAAUUCCGUGAAUCAUCGAAUCUUUGAACGCACAUUGCGCCUUCUGGUAUUCCGGAAGGCAUGCCUGUUCGAGAGUCAUUAACAACCGUUUCGAUCCCUUUCUUUCAGAAAUUACAAAGAGGAAAAGGGUUUGGUUAUGGUGGAGGAGGGAAAGGGAGCGUUUAGCCUGUAAAAAAAGAGGCUGUGUUCCGCCUCCCCCCCAAAAUUGUACAGGCGGUCGUGUGCGCCCACGCAUCGAGGUGUUGUAAAAGCUGCCACGGCACUUUUCACCUGUGCAGUGCGAGAUUGGCCAGCCGGUUUAAAAACCCCUCCAAACAAUCAAAGGUUGACCUCGGAUCAGGUAGGGAUACCCGCUGAACUUAAGCAUAUCAAUAAGCGGGGA
rnacentral:misc_RNA from 1 species